ACUUCAUUGACUUGUCGCUAAUUCACUUCUGAUGCCCAUUGAAUAGAAACUUACAGAGUAACUUUCCCAUCUCUAAUGUCUCAGUGUCUCUUCCAUUGGUGUAGUAAAGCAUUAUCAUGGGAGAAACUUAUGGAAGAAAGGGCUUAUCCAUGCUCAUGACUCAAUGGUAUAGUCGAUUCUAAGAGGGAAGGUUCAACAUCAAGAGAGUGAGGCAGUCGAUCAUUUCUUGCCAUAAUCAGAAGGCAGACCAUAAUGAAGUGCUGGUGUUGCUUGACUAUUCCUGCUCUUCACAUACACAGAUAAGAUUCCACUCACUAAUAAUAUAUGCAUUGUCUGUUCACCUAAAUUAAUUUAAUCAAGAUCACCACCUGACAGCAUGCCCAGUGCCCAGUCUCCCAAAUGAUUAUAGAUUGUGUAAAACUGUCAAAAUUUACUAACCUUUAUCGUAGGUGUGCCUUUUUGGUGGUCAUAAAGAUUUUCAGGAAAAACAAGGGCCACAUGUGUCAGUUAGCUUUCUUCUGCUGUACUGACUUGAGAAAAUAAAUUUAAAGGGAGAAAACUUUAUUUUUGUUUAGUAUUAGAGGUUUUCGUCUGUGGUGACUUGUUCCCUCAAGACCUUAGGAAUGUGGCAGCAACUUAAGUCAGACUAAAUCUAGUCACAUCAUAACAGAUAGGAAACAAUAAAAUAUCCCUGGACACUGUCUUAAAGACACGCCUACUUCAAGUAGGUCAUACCCCCUGGGUUUGUAUCACCUCCAAAUAGCCACAUAAAAUUAGAAAACUACUAAUUUAUUGGAAAACUACCAAGCAAAACUCAUGACCCAAUCAAUUUCCCCAAACCCAUUCCAAAGAGUUUUUGGACAAAACUUUCAACCUAAGUCCCCCAGUAUUUUAGAUGCAUACAAGAGUGAAUUCAUUCUAUUUCAUAAGCUCACCCUUGAAUACACACUCAGAAAACCGAUAUACAGCAAAAUCUUGAAAUGCCAUGGUAGCUGUUCAAUAUUAUUACUAUCAGUAUACCUCCUUAUCAGUAUACAAAUGUAAUAUCAUGGAAAUCAAAAAAUGUAAACAUAGUUCAAGUAAUUCUUUUUAAUAAUUUAUUUUUUGAUGGACAUUGAAGGUUACUUAGUAACCUUCUUAUCAUUUGGAAGUUUUCUAAAUUGUGAGGCUAUUAGGAAGGAAAACAAACUUAGGGGGUGUGACCUACUUGAAGGGAGUGUGUCCUUAAGCCAGGGUACAUGAGAUAUUCUGUUCUCUCAUCAUCACUAUCUCGUCUGUUAUCUUCUAUGGUUAACUACAUACUCACUGAGUGACAUAAAAUGAAUGCCACUGUCUCAGUGUCUUCAAUCAAAUUCAAGAAAGACUACAUUUUACUCACAAAUCAAAUUCACUCUAUUAAUAAUUUGUUCCCAUAAACCAAAAGACAUUCAUUUUUUCUUACUUGGAUAUAGUAAAAUUAUACUACUUAUAUCAUUUCCAUGAUCUGCUUUCGCAAACAUGUUUUAGGAACUAAUUUAACUCCUAUAAAAUACAGCUAUAAUUCCUUUAACAUAAUAGUCUAAAGAUGAAUUUAUCUUUACUUUUACAAGAAAAUAAAUUGUUUGAACAUAGUAGUCUUUUCCUGUAGGAUCAUAUUUUAAACCAGAGAUAAUAUGACCACUUGUAUCAAUAAAUAUAUUCUAAAUUUUAAAUAGUUUAAUCAAUCAUGUGUUUUUAUACUUUUUGAAUAGUGGUCAUAAAUUAGCUAUGCAACCCAAGGAAAUUGUACAUUUUACUAAUUAUGAAAAAACAAUGUAGUUCCAUAUUACUUAGUUUGUACAAGAAAACAGAAUUUAACUCCAGCACCUAAUAUAUUCUGAAUUUGGAAACACUGUUAUGUUAUGCAAAUAAUUAUUGGAUAUAGAAGGAAAAGGAAAAAUGAUCUCCAAAAGGGUAUUAAUUUAAAGAACUACAGGAUGUGUAUUGACAUUUUUCCCUUUCAAGACAUUUUCUACAAUGGUAAAUAGGUACACUGACAGCAAGGGUAUACAAUAGCUAAACUGACAUGUUUGGAAAUCUGUUGUACAUUUGAGACAGCUCUCUCUUUUUCUCUAUAAUUAUAUAUCUUUUUCUCUCUGUCUUUUUCUGUGUCUUUCUCUGUCUCUGUCUCUCUAUGUCUCUUUCUCUCUGUGUCUCUCUGUGUCUCUCUGUGUCUCUGUCUCUCUCUCUCUCUGCCUCUCUCUCUCUCUCUCUCUCUGUGUGUGUGUGUGUGUGUGUGUGUGUGUGUGUGUGAGUGGUAACUGUUAUUUUUUGAUGAAAGACUGUGACCUUUCAGGAAUUGGAAAGUGUAGUUAUAUUUCUCUCUUAUGACCUUGUGUUACAUAACCAGUUUCAAAUUCAGUUUCUUGAUGGGAAGUCAUCUUGGGGAUUUCAAUGCUGAAAAAAGUAGUGAUGAAAGU
rnacentral:lncRNA from 1 species